CUAGUACGUGUCCCUCACUGCAUAAGCCUGCUUCGGCUUCACACUGUUAGUUUCUCUUCAGUCAUCAGCCGAGGUAGACCUAAGAAGGUAUGUAUGUGUACUGCCUCGUGCUGUAUAUUUAGUACUAAUACGCUUUUCUCAAAAUUAGAAUGCCAUGCUAUAAUAAUUAAUAAGCUUUGCCUUUUGUCUCCCUCUUGCACAUAAAAAACAAAAAAUAACAACAAAAUUCUUGUUUUCCAGGUUUAUCUUCAGUAUGUCGAAAAAACUAAAGUGGAAUGAUGACUAAGUUCAGUAUGGCUUCACGUGUGUUACUGAGAAGGAUGGUACACAACGGCCACAGUCAGUUUCUCCACGGACUGGGACAAGAACUGGCUGGAUAUUUUGACGAUCCUGAAUUUGUUCAAAUGCUUGCCUAUUUGGCUUAUGUGUUCACAGCACUCAAUGAGCUCAAUCGCUCACUACAAGGAAGAGGGAUGAGCAUUUUGAUUGCAAGUGAGAAGUUGGCUACAUUCAAAGACAAAUUUGUUUUGUGGAUUAGGCGUGUAAAGAAAGAGAACUUGGCAAAUUUUCCUUCCCUUGAAGAAACAGUCACAGAGGAUGCUUCCCUACAUCCAGAUUUCGUUUCAAAAACAUCUGCAGAUACUGUGCACCUCAUUUGAUGACAACUUCUCGUGUGGAGAGCUACAACCCUGUGGCGACUGGAUCCAGCACCCUUUUAAGCAGAAUAUGGAAGAUGUUGAUGAUGAUAGCAACAUCAAGGAAGAUCUCAUCCAACUGAGAAACAAUCGUGGAAUCCAAAUGGAGUUUGCCGAUGGUCACCUGGAGCACUUCUGGGCUUCUCAGUUGGAAACGUAUCCUGCACUGGCAAAGAAGGCUCUCACUGUGCUCGUGCCUUUCGCGACUAGUACCUCUGCGAGACUGGAUUUUCUUGUCUGCUUCACAUCAAAACCAAGAGCAGAAAUCGGCUGGAUCCUCAACACGACAUGCGAGUGGCACUCAGCACCAAGACACCAAGAUUUGAUGCCAUCAUAAAUGGAAAGCAACAGCAACAAAGUCACUGAGUUUGGCGCUCAGCCAUAAUAAUUCACAACACACUAUGCAUAGUACAAGCACAAUGUUGUUGUUUUUUUUCCUAGUAUGAAAGUAAUCUUGAUUUUUGUAAUCCUGCAAUGCAUUAUUUUGUUGACAGUUAUGUAAAUAAAGAAUUAAAUACA